rnacentral:miRNA from 1 species
CAGAGCUCUUCCUCCUCUGUGGACCCUGCAGCACUGAGGAGAACAGGAGCUCUCUU